rnacentral:ncRNA from 2 species
GUAGAGUAGGGCUAAGGCGUUAAGUGCUAGAAAAUGGGAUGUUGUUUCUAGACGAAAGAUUUUAGUCCGC